GCCAGAACUGACUGCAAUACUGAAAAUGCAGCCUAACCCAUGUCUUAUAAAGUUGCGUAAACCUGAGGUUCUGCAUUUCUAGUCCAGUUACAUUGUUAUUCACCGAAAGGCCAUGGAUGGUCGUCCUUGCUUGUCAAACUCUUCCCCCAACAACACCCUCUCCCCUGGAUGUUUUUGAGCUGUCUUCUUGUUUCGGCACCAGCUCCUUGGAUCCGAGCUGACAUCCAGUGGGAAGUAAUGGAUUGACAUCGCCACUGGUGUGAUCCGUGCCUGGGAAUGAAAUGAUGUGUCGAGAUUCCAGCAUGAGGAGCCAUUUUUUACAUAUGGAAUGGCUUCUCCCUAUUUGCUCUGUCCAGCCCUCACUCAUGAUUUUGUCAAGCUCCAUCAGAUCUCAACCUUCGCCUCUCCUAGGAGGACAGUCUCAGCUUUUUCAUCACUGAAGAUCCUCAUCUGCGGAACCCAUUCUUGCAAAUCGCUAUUGCACUCUCUCUAAUGUGCCCACA